CACACGGUGGAUGCCUUGGCAGUUAGAGGCGAUGAAGGACGUUGUAGCUUGCGAUAAGCGUCGGGGAGAUAGCAAACAAUCUUUGAUCCGGCGAUUUCCGAAUGGGGAAACCCACCAAUUUAUUGGUAUCUGUACCUGAAUCCAUAGGGUGCAGAGGCGAACCGGGAGAACUGAAACAUCUAAGUACCCCGAGGAAGAGAAAUCAAUCGAGAUUCCGUUAGUAGUGGCGAGCGAACGCGGAUUAGCCCUUAAGCAGGCCUAAGAUUAGUGGAAGCCUUCAGGAAAGUUGGCGCCAUAGAGGGUGAUAGCCCCGUACACGAAAAUCUAAGUCUGUGAAAUCGAGUAAGGCGGGACACGUGUUAUCCUGUCUGAAUAUGGGGGGACCAUCCUCCAAGGCUAAAUACUCCUAACUGACCGAUAGUGAACCAGUACCGUGAGGGAAAGGCGAAAAGAACCCCGAUUAGGGGAGUGAAAUAGAACCUGAAACCGUGUGCGUACAAGCAGUGGGAGCCCACUUGUUGGGUGACUGCGUACCUUUUGUAUAAUGGGUCAGCGACUUACUUUCAGUGGCAAGCUUAACCGAUAGGGUAGGCGUAGGGAAACCGAGUCUUAAUAGGGCGCAAAGUCGCUGGGAGUAGACCCGAAACCGGGCGAUCUAUCCAUGGCCAGGUUGAAGGUGCCGUAACAGGCACUGGAGGACCGAACCCACGUCUGUUGAAAAAGACGGGGAUGAGCUGUGGAUCGGAGUGAAAGGCUAAUCAAGCUCGGAGAUAGCUGGUUCUCCUCGAAAGCUAUUUAGGUAGCGCCUCGGACGAACACUCUUGGGGGUAGAGCACUGUUUAGGCUAGGGGGUCAUCCCGACUUACCAAACCUAGGCAAACUCCGAAUACCAAGAAGUGAUAUCCGGGAGACACACGGCGGGUGCUAACGUCCGUCGUGAAAAGGGAAACAACCCAGACCGUCAGCUAAGGUCCCAAAGUUAUGGUUCAGUGGGAAACGAAGUGAGAAGGCUCAGACAGCCAGGAGGUUGGCUUAGAAGCAGCCACCCUUUAAAGAAAGCGUAAUAGCUCACUGGUCUAGUCGUCUUGCGCGGAAGAUUUAACGGGGCUAAACCAUACACCGAAGCUACGGGUUCAUACUUUGUAUGAGCGGUAGAGGAGCGUUCUGUACGCCUGCGAAGGUGAUCUGUAAGGAUUGCUGGAGGUAUCAGAAGUGCGAAUGCUGACAUGAGUAACGAUAAAAGGGGUGAGAGACCCCUUCGCCGAAAGCCCAAGGUUUCCUGCGCAAUGCUAAUCAGCGCAGGGUUAGUCGGCCCCUAAGGCGAGGCAGAAAUGCGUAGUCGAUGGGAAGCAGGUUAAUAUUCCUGCACCGACGUGUUGUGCGAUGAGGGGACGGAGAAGGCUAGGCCAGAUGGGCGACGGUUGUCCCAAUCUAAGUGCGUAGGGGGUAGAUUUAGGCAAAUCCGGAUCUACUUAACCCUGAAACACGAUGGCGAAGUGAACAUGUUCACUGAGUGGUCGAUGCCAUACUUCCAAGAAAAGCCUCUAAGCUUCAGCAACACGUUGACCGUACUCCAAACCGACACAGGUGGGCUGGUUGAGAAUACCAAGGCGCUUGAGAGAACUCGGGUAAAGGAACUAGGCAAAAUAGUACCGUAACUUCGGGAGAAGGUACGCCUCUGAGGGUGCAUAGCCUUUGGAGGCCGCAGAGACCAGGUGGCUGCGACUGUUUAUUAAAAACACAGCACUGUGCAAACACGUAAGUGGACGUAUACGGUGUGACGCCUGCCCGGUGCCGGAAGGUUAAUUGAUGGGGUUAUCUUCGGAGAAGCUCUUGAUCGAAGCCCCGGUAAACGGCGGCCGUAACUAUAACGGUCCUAAGGUAGCGAAAUUCCUUGUCGGGUAAGUUCCGACCUGCACGAAUGGCGUAACGAUGGCCACGCUGUCUCUACCCGAGACUCAGUGAAAUUGAAAUCGCAGUGAAGAUGCUGUGUUCCCGCGGCUAGACGGAAAGACCCCGUGAACCUUUACUACAGCUUGACAUUGAACGUUGAUCCUACUUGUGUAGGAUAGGUGGGAGGCUUUGAAGCAGUGACGCCAGUCAUUGUGGAGCCAACCUUGAAAUACCACCCUGGUAUGAUUGACGUUCUAACCUAGACCCGUUAUCCGGGUCAGAGACAAUGUCUGGUGGGUAGUUUGACUGGGGCGGUCUCCUCCCAAAGAGUAACGGAGGAGCGCGAAGGUACCCUAAGUACGGUCGGAAAUCGUGCGGUUUGUGCAAAGGCAUAAGGGUGCUUAACUGCGAGACAGACACGUCGAGCAGGUACGAAAGUAGGUCUUAGUGAUCCGGUGGUUCUGUAUGGAAGGGCCAUCGCUCAACGGAUAAAAGGUACGCCGGGGAUAACAGGCUGAUACUGCCCAAGAGUCCAUAUCGACGGCAGUGUUUGGCACCUCGAUGUCGGCUCAUCACAUCCUGGGGCUGUAGCAGGUCCCAAGGGUAUGGCUGUUCGCCAUUUAAAGUGGUACGCGAGCUGGGUUUAGAACGUCGUGAGACAGUUCGGUCCCUAUCUGCCGUGGGCGUUGGAGAAUUGAGGGAAGCUGCUCCUAGUACGAGAGGACCGGAGUGGACGAACCUCUGGUGUUCGGGUUGUGUCGCCAGACGCAUUGCCCGGUAGCUAAGUUCGGAAUCGAUAACCGCUGAAAGCAUCUAAGCGGGAAGCCUCUCCCAAGAUAAGUUCU
rnacentral:rRNA from 1 species